GAACCUNCGUACUCCGAAUGCAUCCGAUUAGUUUUGAUCAUGGCUCAGAUUGAACGCUAGCGGGAUGCCUUACACAUGCAAGUCGAACGGCAGCACGGACUUCGGUCUGGUGGCGAGUGGCGAACGGGUGAGUAAUGUAUCGGAACGUGCCCAGUAGCGGGGGAUAACUACGCGAAAGCGUAGCUAAUACCGCAUACGCCCUACGGGGGAAAGCAGGGGGAUCGCAAGACCUUGCACUAUUGGAGCGGCCGAUAUCGGAUUAGCUAGUUGGUGGGGUAACGGCUCACCAAGGCGACGAUCCGUAGCUGGUUUGAGAGGACGACCAGCCACACUGGGACUGAGACACGGCCCAGACUCCUACGGGAGGCAGCAGUGGGGAAUUUUGGACAAUGGGGGAAACCCUGAUCCAGCCAUCCCGCGUGUGCGAUGAAGGCCUUCGGGUUGUAAAGCACUUUUGGCAGGAAAGAAACGUCAUGGGUUAAUACCCCGUGAAACUGACGGUACCUGCAGAAUAAGCACCGGCUAACUACGUGCCAGCAGCCGCGGUAAUACGUAGGGUGC
rnacentral:rRNA from 1 species